rnacentral:rRNA from 1 species
CCUACGGGUGGCAGCAGUGGGGAAUAUUGGGCAAUGGAGGAAACUCUGACCCAGCAAUGCCGCGUGAAUGAUGAAGGUCUUCGGAUUGUAAAGUUCUUUUCGAAGGGAGGAAGAAAGUGACGGUACUUUAGGAAUAAGCUUCGGCUAACUCCGUGCCAGCAGCCGCGGUAAUACGUAGGAGGCGAGCGUUAUCCGGAAUGACUGGGCGUAAAGGGUGCGCAGGUGGUUUGGCAAGUUAGUAGCGUAACUCCAAGGCUCAACCUUGGAACUACUACUAAAACUGGUGGGCUUGAGUGCAGGAGGGGGAACCAGAAUUCCUGGUGUAGCGGUGGAAUGCGUAGAUAUUAGGAGGAACACCAGUGGCGAAGGCGGGUUGCUAGAC